GCAGGCUUAACACAUGCAAGUCGAGGGGUAACAUUGUGCUUGCACAGAUGACGACCGGCGCACGGGUGCGUAACGCGUAUAGAACCUACCUUUUACAGAGGAAUAGCCUUUAGAAAUGAAGAUUAAUGCCUCAUGGUAUUGUAGACUGGCAUCAGUUUAUAAUUAAAGAUUUAUCGGUAAAAGAUGGCUAUGCGUCCUAUUAGUUAGUUGGUAAGGUAACGGCUUACCAAGACAGCGAUAGGUAGGGGUCCUGAGAGGGAGAUCCCCCACACUGGUACUGAGACACGGACCAGACUCCUACGGGAGGCAGCAGUGAGGAAUAUUGGACAAUGGAGGAGACUCUGAUCCAGCCAUGCCGCGUGUAGGAAGAAUGCCCUAUGGGUUGUAAACUACUUUUAUACAGGAAGAAACACUGGUAUGUAUACCAGCUUGACGGUACUGUAAGAAUAAGGACCGG
rnacentral:rRNA from 1 species